rnacentral:rRNA from 1 species
UACGUAGGGGGCGAGCGUUGUCCGGAGUUACUGGGCGUAAAGGGCACGCAGGCGGUCGGUCAAGUUCCCGGUGACAGUCCUCGGCUUAACUGAGGAAGAGUCGGGAAAACUGCUCGACUUGAGAACGAGAGAGGGAGCCGGAAUUCCGGGUGGAGCGGUGAAAUGCGUAGAGAUCCGGAGGAACACCAAAGGCGAAGGCAAGCUCCUGGCUCGUUUCUGACGCUCAGGUGCGAAAGCCAGGGGAGCGAACGGG